GGCCGGGAACUCAAAGGAGACUGCCAGUGAUAAACUGGAGGAAGGUGGGGAUGACGUCAAGUCAUCAUGGCCCUUACGACCAGGGCUACACACGUGCUACAAUGGCGCAUACAAAGAGAAGCGACCUCGCGAGAGCAAGCGGACCUCAUAAAGUGCGUCGUAGUCCGGAUUGGAGUCUGCAACUCGACUCCAUGAAGUCGGAAUCGCUAGUAAUCGUAGAUCAGAAUGCUACGGUGAAUACGUUCCCGGGCCUUGUACACACCGCCCGUCACACCAUGGGAGUGGGUUGCAAAAGAAGUAGGUAGCUUAACCUUCGGGAGGGCGCUUACCACUUUGUGAUUCAUGACUGGGGUGAAGUCGUAACAAGGUAACCGUAGGGGAACCUGCGGUUGGAUCACCUCCUUACCUUAAAGAA
rnacentral:rRNA from 2 species